rnacentral:rRNA from 1 species
UUGGGGUCCACUUCGGUGGCGCGCACACAGGUGCUGCAUGGCUGUCGUCAGCUCGUGUCGUGAGAUGUUGGGUUAAGUCCCGCAACGAGCGCAACCCACGUCCUUAGUUGCCAUCAUUCAGUUGGGCACUCUAGGGAGACUGCCGGUGAUAAGCCGCGAGGAAGGUGUGGAUGACGUCAAGUCCUCAUGGCCCUUACGGGAUGGGCUACACACGUGCUACAAUGGCGGUGACAGUGGGACGNGAAGGAGCGAUCUGGAGCAAAUCCCCAAAAGCCGUCUCAGUUCGGAUUGCACUCUGCANCUCGGGUGCAAAAGGCGA